AGACGUAAAGGAAGCCCAGUGGUGUUUCUGGAGAGGGAUUCCUUCAGAAAUGGAGAAGACAGAAAGCUGCGGAGGCAGAUAUAUGCAGCAGUAAGUCUGUGAUAGUUUGUCUCUUUUAUCAAACAUUCCUGCUGUUAUAAUUUGUACAGCAUUUGUUGUUUCUUAAACUGUUGCACUGUCCAAAUACCCACACUUGCCAUCUUUGCACUUGACCACUUGAUUACUUAUUUGAAGUCUUUCCUGUAUUUGGCCUAGUGUUCGAGUGAGCAUGAUGACCACAAGUGUGUGUCGAACUUUUCAUGACCUGAUGACUGUGUUUCCCAAUCCUGAUCCUGGAGAACCCCAGCACUGCACGGUUUUGGUGUCUCUCUUAUCUGCCUUGGAGUCUUCACUGAUGAGCUGAUGAGUUGAAUCAGGUCUAAAAUAUCAAGCUCAACAACUCACUCAAGAGCCAACCCUCACAAACCUUCCUAAAAACUAAAAGAGCUAUUACUGAGUCUCAGCGAAUCUUGCCACGAUCAGCUCUUCCCAGAAGAGAAGGAAGACCAAGGAAAUGAUUUGCUCAGGAUGAGGAAUGAAGAUGGCCAUCUUGUGCUCAAACAAACAGAAGUCCUCUGAUGAUCUCAUCAGCCAAAUGAGGGGUUUUGACCAAGUGAUGCUCUUGAAAGGAGUGAAAGAAGAGGAUGUGGUAAAUUGUCUUCAGAGAAAAACCUUCUCUAAAGGUCUUAAAACAGCUUGAAGAAUGGUCUGGGAUCUUAGGACUGAGAGAUCCUCUGGCUGAGAGAAGCUACACCACAUCAGUGCUGGAUAUCAGCCACAAACUGUUUCCAGACACGAGAGAAGAAGAACACGAUGGGGAGAUGAAACCAGUUUAGAUGUGAUGAUGGGAAUCAUUAUUUUCUGGAACAGUAUCUCAUGUCUUAUAUGUAUCACAUGAUCUGUAUCACAGUUGACUGGAUGGGACUGUGUGACUUUUAAGGACAUUUCAUCACUCAUCUGUGUGAACUGAUUUAUAUAUGAGGUUAAUGUAUUUUUGAUGAUAAUUAUUUUCAUUGAAUCUUAUUCGUCUUGAUGCUACUUUAUCAACUUUAUAGUCUAUGCUUCAAUAAAAUGAAAAUGGUGAA